rnacentral:rRNA from 1 species
AACGCGAAGAACCUUACCAGGUCUUGACAUCCAGAGAACCCUUAGGAAACUAGGGGGUGCCCUUCGGGGAACUCUGAGACAGGUGGUGCAUGGUUGUCGUCAGCUCGUGUCGUGAGAUGUUGGGUUAAGUCCCGCAACGAGCGCAACCCUUGCCAUUAGUUGCUAACAGGUGAAGCUGAGCACUCUAAUGGGACUGCCCGUGACAAGCGGGUGGAAGGUGGGGAUGACGUCAAAUCAUCAUGCCCUUUAUGAUCUGGGCUACACACGUGCUACAAUGGGUGGUACAGAGAGCGGCGAAGCCGUGAGGCGGAGCGAAUCUCAAAAAGCCAUUCUCAGUUCGGAUUGCAGUCUGCAACUCGACUGCAUGAAGUCGGAAUCGCUAGUAAUCGCGAAUCAGCACGUCGCGGUGAAUGCGUUCCCGGGUCUUGUACACACCG